rnacentral:rRNA from 1 species
AGCGUAGGUGGCUUGAUAAGUCAGAUGUGGAAGCCCCGGGCUUAACCUGGGAACGGCAUCUGAUACUGUUAGGCUAGAGUAGGUGAGAGGAAGGUAGAAUUCCAGGUGUAGCGGUGAAAUGCGUAGAGAUCUGGAGGAAUACCGAUGGCGAAGGCAGCCUUCUGGCAUCAUACUGACACUGAGGUUCGAAAGCGUGGGUAGCAAACA